rnacentral:rRNA from 1 species
GAUGAACGCUGGCGGCGUGCCUAAUACAUGCAAGUCGAGCGAACGGACGAGAAGCUUGCUUCUCUGAUGUUAGCGGCGGACGGGUGAGUAACACGUGGAUAACCUACCUAUAAGACUGGGAGAACUUCGGGAAACCGUAGCUAAUACCGGCUAAUAUUUUGAACCGCAUGGUUCAAAAGUGAAAGACGGUCUUGCUGUCACUUAUAGAUGGAUCCGCGCUGCAUUAGCUAGUUGGUAAGGUAACGGCUUACCAAGGCAACGAUGCAUAGCCGACCUGAGAGGGUGAUCGGCCACACUGGAACUGAGACACGGUCCAGACUCCUACGGGAGGCAGCAGUAGGGAAUCUUCCGCAAUGGGCGAAAGCCUGACGGAGCAACGCCGCGUGAGUGAUGAAGGUCUUCGGAUCGUAAAACUCUGUUAUUAGGGAAGAACAUAUGUGUAAGUAACUGUGCACAUCUUGACGGUACCUAAUCAGAAAGCCACGGCUAACUACGUG